GAUGAAGAACGUAGCGAAAUGCGAUACGUAAUGUGAAUUGCAGAAUUCAGUGAAUCAUCGAGUCUUUGAACGCACAUUGCGCCCCCUGGUAUUCUGGCGGGCAUGCCUGUCCGAGCGUCAUUUCAACCCUCGGGCCCCCCUCUGCGGGCGGCCCGGCGUUGGGGCUCAGGCGCCGUCUCUGCUCGGCGCCUGUCCCCUAAAUGCAGUGGCGGCCUCGCCGCUGCCUCCUCCGCGUAGUAGCACAAACCUCGCGGCUGGAAGGCGGCGCGGCCACGCCGUAAAACCCCCCAACUUUACCAAGGUUGACCUCGGAUCAGGUAGGAAUACCCGCUGAACUUAAGCAUAUCAAUAAGCGGAGGA
rnacentral:misc_RNA from 1 species